rnacentral:ncRNA from 1 species
GAGCAUAUGGUGGAUGCCUUGGCUUUGAAAGGCGAUGAAGGACGUAGCGUAGCUGCGAUAAGCUCCGGGGAGGUGCCUAGCAACCUUUGAUCCGGAGAUCUCCGAAUGGGGAAACCCCUCGUGCAUUGCACGAGACGUGCUCCGCAUUUAGUUAGUAAGUUUAUUAGUUGUUAAGUUAGUAAGUCUUAGAACUUAUCAACUUAGAAACUUAAAGCUCGCGGCGAGCGAACUUAUGAACUGAAUGCGGGGUGCGAGCAUACCCAGGGAAGUAAAACAUUUCAGUACCUGGAGGAAGAGAAACCAAAGGAACCCAUCUCAAAAAUAAUGACUCGGCCAAACGAUAAAAUUUCGAGAAAAAAAUAAAGGAUGAGGAAGAAGGCGUACGGGGAGUACGAGCGACUGACGAAACUUUAUUUUUGCCGAAAUUUUGAUGUUUGGGCAGUCAAACAUAACCUAAAUAUUUGACAAUGUGGUUAUUUUUGAGAUGGGUUCCAGUAUUCCGUGAGUAGCGGCGAGCGAAAGCGGAAGAGCCCAAACCGUCUGCAUCACAUGGAAUGUGAUGGGUGGAUUCAAGAAUUUAGAUUCAAGAUUCAAGAAUACAAGAAAUCGCGAAGCGAUUUCCUGUCCUGAAUCGUGAAUCCUGAAUCUUGCUUCUACCCCUCGCGCUUCGCGUGAUGCGGAUGGGGUUGUAAGGCAGAGACGCCGAGCACCACUUUUGACGGAAAGUGAUUUGUAACUGACUUGCGAAAGAUAACUCUUUUCAAAAGUUGGUAAACGAACGCUUUAUUUCAAAAGUGGUGCUUGGGAGAAGUUACAAAAUUUUAUGUUAAUCGAACAAGCUGGAAAGCUUGGCCCAAGAAGGUAAUGGCCCUGUAGAUGAAAACAUAAAAUCUUCUUUGUCUUUGUUCUUGAGUACUUCGAGACACGAAUAGCUCGGAGGAAUCUGCCGGAACUAACCGGCAAGGCUAAAUACUUUCAAAGACCGAUAGUGAACUAGUACCGUGAGGGAAAGGUGAAAAGCAGCCCGGAGAGGGCGGUGAAAUAGACCUGAAACCAUAUGCUUACAAGGAGUCGGAGCGGUCAUCACACAGAGUGUGAUGACCGCAGAUUCAAGAAUUUAGAUUCAAGAUUCAAGAAUACAAGAAAUCGCAAGGCGAUUUCUUGUUCCUGAAUCCUGAAUCCUGAAUCCUGAUUCUGCGGUCAUCGCGCCUUGCGCGAUGACCGUCACGGCGUGCCUAUUGAAGAAUGAACCAACGAGUUGAUGUGUGCUGCGAGGCUAAGUCCUUUAGGGAUGGAGCCGUAGGGAAACCGAGUGUGAAUAGCGCGUGCACGCAACUUCCAACACCGAGCUUCCAACUUCCAACAUGGAUAAAUUUUCGUAAAGCAAAAAUUUAUCGUUGGUUGUUGGGGGUUGGUUGUUGGGAGUUACGUAAGUAGUACAUAUCAGACCCGAAGCCAAGGUGAGCUUGUCAUGAGCAGGGUGAACCUUCGCGAAAGCGAAGGGGAGGCCCGAACCGGUGAGCCGUUCAACACUCUCGGAUGACUUGUGAUAAGAAGUGAAAAGCUAAUCGAACUUGGUAAUAGCUGGUUCUCUCCGAAAUAGCUUUUGGGCUAGCGUCGGAUGUUCCUCUGGGGGGUAGAGCACUGGAUGGUCUCGACAGGGCGAAAGCUCGCGAGACCAAUCAAACUCCGAAUACCCAGCAGUCUAGUCCGGCAGUUAGACCGUGGGGGCUAAGCUCCACUGGUCAAAAGGGAAACAGCCCUAGAUCUCAAGUUAAGGUCCCUAAAUCUACGCUAAGUGCAUCACAAGGUGGUGGUAUUUCUAUGACAGUGAGGAUGUUGGCUUAGAAGCAGCCAUCAUUUAAAGAAAGCGUAACAGCUCACUCACUAAGAGAUGCUGCGCCAAAGAUAAUCGGGGCUAAGCGUAGUACCGAAACUGAGGACCCUCCCUACUUUUGAGUUAUUGAAGUGUCGAUGAUUCAAAAGUAGGGAGGGUGGUAGGAGAGUAUUCCACUCGUCUGUUCGAAAGAACUAGGACUUAAGCUGUGAAGGCAAAGGGGUGACCCAUGCUGGAGCGUGUGGAAGUAAGAAUGUUGGUACAAGUAACCACAAUGCGGGUGAGAACCCCGCACGCCAAAAGAUCAAGGUUUCCUUGGCAAUGACAAUCAGCCAAGGGUUAGUCGGGCCUAAGGGGAUGGCGAGAGCCGAACCCGAUGGACACAUGGUUAAUAUUCCAUGACUUUUUAUUGUUUCGAUGGGAGGACGAAGUUUAGUAUGUCGGGCGCAUUAUUGGAUUUGCGUUCGGGCCGUCAGUGUGAUUUCCAGGUAAAUCCGGAAGUCUGCCUUUAAUGGCGAAUGCAAGCGGAGCGAAGGACCGCGCAUGGCGCAGGAAAAUUCCAAAUAACAAAUUCCAAAUCACAAACAAUACUCAAUGUUCAAAUAACAAAACUCAAACGGGAACAAUCUCAUUUUGAAUUUGUAGUUUGCUUAUUGAAAUUUGUUUGGUAUUUGGGGCUUGGAUAUUGGGAUUUUCGCGCGCUGUGCGCGGGAUCCGACAAAGCAAGCUUUCAAGAAAAUUCUCUAAGUUACACAAUAAAGAACCGUACCGGAAACCGACACAGGUGAUCACGUCGAGUAGACGAAGGCGAACGAGUGAAAUUUCCCCAAGGAACUCGGCAAAAAAGCAGCCGUAACUUCGGAAUAAGGCUUUCCCUCCCUACUUUUGGUAGGAUUAUCAAAUGUAUGUCAUGUAUGUUUUGGAGCAUUCAGAUACUCGACAAUUAUAUGUUGGGUAUACGACUGAUCUCAAACGACGAAUUCGCGAUCAUAACAAUCGCGGGCAAAAGUACACGACACGAAAAACAGGUGAAUGGAUUCUUGUAUAUGCUGAGGCGUAUAGAGAUGAAAAUGAUGCCCGCGAUCGUGAACGUAAAUUAAAAAUACAUGGUGGCGCAAUGAAUUCUUUACUUAAGCGACUAACAAAAAGUCGUUUGAGCCAAAAGUAGGGAGGGACGCAGCUAAAGUAUGUCUGGCAACUGUUUACCAAAAACACAGCUCCCUGCGAACUCGCAAGAGGAUGUAUAGGGGGUGACACUUGACCAAUGCCAGAAGGUCAAACAUCGGCGGUUUAUACCAUAAGUGGGCGUGCAACAGGCGGAUUCAAGAGACGCGAUUUAGGAUUCAAGAAUAAUUCAAUUCCUGAAUCCUAAAUCUAAAUUCCUGAAUCUACUCUCGUGCCCAGUUUGGUAUAAGCUGACUGAUGUAAGCCCUGGUGAAUGUCGGCCGUAACUAUAGACGUGACCGUUGUAGUUACGAAAAUAAAUCUUGCUAUAUGCUGGAAAAUCUGGCUUCACUAUAAAAGUGAAGAAAAAAGUGUUUGUUACUACUCGCUUUCGUUGAAAAGCAGUAACAAUGUAACAACGCAGACAAUCAGCAGGAAAGACUUCUUUUGUAAUCAAAGAAAAUGGAUUGGCUACGCCAAAUUAAACCAGAAAUAGGAAACUAUAUUGCUGGGUUCACUGAUGGUGAAGGAAGCUUCAAUAUAUCAGUGAAAAAAAGAAUUGAUUACAGAGAUCAGUGGAAAUUAACUGCCUCAUUCAAUAUUUCUCAAAAAGAUCGCGUCAUUCUUGCUUUCAUCAAAAAAGAGCUUGGAUGCGGGACGUUACGAGAAAGAAAAGAUGGAGUAGUUUAUUAUGAAGUGACGAAUAUCACUUCUCUGAAAGAAAAAAUAAUUCCGUUUUUUAGACGGUUUGGAUUUCUUUCGGCACGAAAAAAAACGAAUUUCUCUAUUUUUUCCGCGAUAGUUGAGAAAAUGGGAAAUGGAGAACAUCUGACAGAGAAAGGUUUUCUAAAAGUUCUUGAAUUAAGAGAAACUCUUAAUGAAGGAAAAGGAAGAAAACGUAAAUAUAAUUUAUCAGAUUUCAUAUCAAAAGAAGAAUCCUCAGAGACUAUACGCAAGACAGUUUCGAAUCAACAAUUGGAGUCGACGAUUUGAAAAUGAUGAUAGAGUCCGAUCUCUCUAGCGAUAGAGAGCUAACAAAAUAAGUAAUAAAUUUGGUAAAUAGAAACGUAAGUUAAACACAAAUUCGGCAACCUUAAAUGCAGAACGGUCCUAAGGUUACGCCACUCUCACGUAAUAAAAUUGAGGGUGGUGUAAGGACUGGGACUGUCCUGCGGCUUUUAUUAAAGUGGUGAUUAAAACGCUGCCUAUUUCAUGCAAAUGAAAUGUCUAAAAAUAUCUGACUAUAUGCUGGGAAAUCUGUGCAUAAAAUGCUUAGUAUCUGAUACUACUAUGGUAUAAUUAUUCCAUAUGGAAAUUAUCUCUAGUAAAAAAGUAAUCAGUGCAGACAAUCAGCAGGAAAGACUAAAAAUCGAGUCAUGGAUAGUAGGUUUUACUGACGGUGAAGGAUGUUUUUCUGUAAGCAUAUUGAAAAACAAAACUUCAAAGAGCGGUUGGCAAAUUUUCCCAGAGUUCGUCAUAACUCAAGGGAAGAAAAGUCUUCCCGCGUUGGAAAUAUUUCAAAAGUAUUUUGAAUGUGGCAAGAUAUUCGUCAACAAGCGAUACGAUAAUCAUAAAGAACAUCUUUAUAGAUAUUGCGUCCGCGCGAUCAAAAAUUUGGAAGAAAAGAUCAUCCCUUUUUUCCAAAAGAAUCAGUUAAAGACCUUUAAAAGCAAUGAUUUCCUCAUCUUCUGCAAAAUUCUGAAGCUGAUAAAAAAGGGAAGUCACUUAAACCAUGAAGGGAUUACUUCGAUUGCAAAAUUAAUUGAAACAAUGAAUCGCAAGAAGAAAUCAAGAUUUUUAGAAUCCUCAGAAACCAAACGUCAGACUAAGUAGAAAUAUUUAGAAGAUAGAGUUCGUUCCCUAUAGCGAUAUGGGGUUGACAACUAGCGAAAUUCCUUGUCGGGUAGGAACUGCCCAACUUGAUAGCGAUAUCAAGACAAAAACUGGCUUAUAACGGUGGAAUCCAAACUGGAGGCUUGAGGAGGCCGAUGAAAGUGGACAAUACCGUGGGAAGCUCGCAACUGCGGGCCCCGUAUCGACUUAGGUCGCCAAUAUCCAUUGGUGACCUGGAUAGAUGUUGUUAUUAUUAACUCAUCUAUAACACGCCAGCUCUGAUGGAAAGAAAUAUUGAAGAAUAUAUAUCGGGAUAUGUUAAUGGAGAAGGAUGUUUUUCCGUCUCAUUUUCUCGAAGAAAAAAGAUGCUUGUGGGAUGGGAAACUAAACCUAGUUUCUCCGUGAGUCAAAAUCAGGAUAGGUCUGAAGUUUUGUUUCUCAUUCAAAAAAAGUUUGGAUGCGGAUUCAUACGACGGGACUAUAGUGACAAGACUCUAAAAUAUGAAGUAAGAAGUCUGAAGGAUUUAAUCAAAAAAUUGUUCCUCACUUCUUGCAACACCCACUUCUGUCAGCAAAGCAAAAUGAUUUUCUAAAGUUUAGGAAGGUUUGCUUGAUGAUGGAAAAACAAAAGCAUAAACAGGGUUCUGGCCUGAAAGAUAUUAUGAAAAUAGCUUUCACGAUGAACUCCGGCAGUAAAAGAAAAUAUUCAAAAAUCAAUAUUCUCAAACUAUUAGAUGAAGAUAUAGUCAAUGCCGCUCGUAAGAGUGGAGAGGAACAUGAAGUUCCGACGCGCACGAAUAGUGUAAUGACUGGACAACUGUCUCGGGGAAUAGCUCGGUGAAAAUA